CUGGCUCAGAUUGAACGCUGGCGGCAGGCCUAACACAUGCAAGUCGAACGGUAGCACAGAGAGCUUGCUCUCGGGUGACGAGUGGCGGACGGGUGAGUAAUGUCUGGGAAACUGCCCGAUGGAGGGGGAUAACUACUGGAAACGGUAGCUAAUACCGCAUAACGUCUUCGGACCAAAGUGGGGGACCUUCGGGCCUCACACCAUCGGAUGUGCCCAGAUGGGAUUAGCUAGUAGGUGGGGUAAUGGCUCACCUAGGCGACGAUCCCUAGCUGGUCUGAGAGGAUGACCAGCCACACUGGAACUGAGACACGGUCCAGACUCCUACGGGAGGCAGCAGUGGGGAAUAUUGCACAAUGGGCGCAAGCCUGAUGCAGCCAUGCCGCGUGUAUGAAGAAGGCCUUCGGGUUGUAAAGUACUUUCAGCGGGGAGGAAGGCGAUGG
rnacentral:rRNA from 1 species